rnacentral:rRNA from 1 species
GCUAGCGGCAGGCCUAAUACAUGCAAGUCGAGGGGUAUGAUUUUGAGUUUACUUGAAAUCAGAGACCGGCGCACGGGUGCGUAACACGUAUGCAACCUACCCUUUACAGGGGGAUAGCUCAGAGAAAUCUGAAUUAAUACCCCAUAGUUACAUUUCGCUGCAUGGUGAGAUGUAUAAAGCUCCGGCGGUAAAGGAUGGGCAUGCGUUACAUUAGCUAGUUGGUGAGGUAAUGGCUCACCAAGGCUACGAUGUAUAGGGGUUCUGAGAGGAUGAUCCCCCACACUGGUACUGAGACACGGACCAGACUCCUACGGGAGGCAGCAGUAGGGAAUAUUGGACAAUGGACGCAAGUCUGAUCCAGCCAUGCCGCGUGCAGGAUGACAGCCCUCUGGGUUGUAAACUGCUUUUAUAUGAGAAGAAACCCUCAGAUGCGUUUGAGGCUGACGGUAUCAUAUGAAUAAGGAUCGGCUAACUUCGUGCCAGCAGCCGCGGUAAGACGAAGGAUCCAAGCGUUGUCCGGAUUUACUGGGUUUAAAGGAUGCGUAGGCGGACACUUAAGCCA